AUGCCCUUCAUACGGCCAGCAUCAGAAGAUCAGAUAAAUACUCACAUGUAUGGGUUCUUCAUCUUGACCAGGCAGUACGACAGACCUUGGAAAUGCCGAGAUGCACACGACACAGUCUCAUUGUCAAGGUGCUGAUAAUCUAGACGAGGAAUCUGAAAGGUAGUCGGCAGGAGGCCUACGAAGGAAAUGCUUCGGCGUGACGAGCAUGGCUCUAUGGGACUGGAGGGAUCACAAAGCCUGCGACCAGAAUAGAUGCACCCUCAACCCAGAGAAGGCGGCUUACCACUAGGUGUGUCCCAGGCUACUCUCCAAGGAUUCUUGCCAAGGACGGGAUGGAUGUGAAAAGGCUCGUGAGCGAAAGGAAGAAUAAGCUCAGCUGGAAAUUCUAUUACAGCAAGAAAAGGCAGCCUUGAAAAUAAAUAAUCGUACUGA